rnacentral:lncRNA from 1 species
CAAAUCUGGGAUUACUCUACAAUGAACAGGCUUUGGAUGUGGCGGUGACAGUAGUUGGCUGCUCUUAUUCUAUGACUGUCAUCGCGAAACGUUAAUUUUAAACAUCUGGGAAAGGGGAACAUUAACCAUGCCUCAAAAUCAGGAGAGCUUGCUAAUUGAACUUGAAGCAUUAAAUGUUCUCCUGAAAGCACUCAACCUAAUGAGGUAACAAAAGCUCCAGAGGACAAAAAUUAAGCAAAGCAAGUUAGUUCUUGAAUGAAACUCUUGAAACCCCAAUUUGAGACAAUAAAGAAGAAGGAAAAGGAAAAAAAAUUAGAAAAAGGAAAAAUGACAGAAUAUGAGGUCUUUAUUGAUUUUUUUAAAGUAACCUCUACACCCAGCCUGGGGCUCGAACUCACAACCCCAAGAUCAGGAGUGGCUUGCUCUUCCAACUGUGCCUGCCAGGCACCCACAGUGGCUCCUAUAUUUAGGAUGUGGUACUGUGCACUGUGGAACCUGUGGACCAUUGCCCCUCCGUGGCUUCCUUCUCAACUCCAUCUUUACAUACCUGCCCCAAAAGGUCCUCAAUCAUAAAAGGCUGCAUUCCACUGCUGUCGGUGAGAGGUGACGGUGAUCUGGACUGGAGCUGGGGAGGUGGAAAUGGAAAGAAGCAAUCUGAUCUCAGAUAUAUUGUGGAGGAAUUUCCAAUAGGACUAGCUGAAGGUCUGGAUAUAGGAAGUAAGAGAGAAAGAAGCAGGAACCAAGGAAGAAAACUUCUAGGUCUCUAACU